rnacentral:lncRNA from 1 species
UUGUUUUCCCUGGCCCUCACCCACCAAAAUCCUUCAAUGUAGGCGGCCUAAAAUUCUAAGCCACAACAAAGAAUUUCAAUUCAAGUUUGGCUUCAACAAGAAAUCCAGAAGAUAGUGCCGGUAAUAUGCUUAGGAUUCUUCUGGUACAUGAAUUCAUUCCACGGGUUUACUGUUAAAUUUUUUGUCGUUUUCAUUUUGUAUAGCUUAUAAACUGCGUUUCUCAAUUUUCUUUCUUAGCUCUGAUCCGGACAAUGCACCCUUUCUUUUCAUAUAAUAUGAUUUAUUAGUAUAUAAUAAUUCCCCUUUCAAUCACUGAAGCCUUAUUUUCUCUUAUUUAUCAACUUUUUCUCAACCCUUCUCACACAAUCACAUUAACUUUCUUUAGAUUUAUUGACUCAACUUUUCACUCAAAAUAUAUUUUUUAUUAUUUUGGCAUGUCUUGUCAUUUUUAAUUUCACUAUUAAAUUAUUUAUACUAAUAUACUUUGUUUGAUUUUUGUAACGUGUUUAACUUUAAACUGCAAUGCAAUAUAUUAUUAUUAAUAUGAUAUAAAAUUUUCUACGAGUGUUAUUGAUAUUGUUAUAUUUAUUUAACAAUAAAAAUGUUUGAAUUUUUUGUUAUUUUGUUAGGAGUUGCUGAUAUAUUUAUAAAAUGAUUGGUGGAUGGAAGCACCGAGGAUAGUCUGGUGGUUUGCCACUUUCAUGAUUCAGAUUUUCAAGAUUGGGUAGCUAUAAUUUUCAACGAACUCAAGCAAUGGAAAAGAGAUGCGUUUACCUAUGUUAAAUAGGCAAUUCCUUGAGACGAAUAUUUUCACAUCUAGCAAGGCCAGCCAUUUUGUAAUAUAACGAAGAAACACGAGAGCAGCAAUGGAUUGCAUCCCCAUGCUUGUUUUCUGCUUCAUUUCAUUUCUGAUUGUAAGAACAACCACACCUACUGACACCAUAAACACAGCUCAGUCCAUUAGAGAUGGAGACACUAUAGUUUCAGC